rnacentral:rRNA from 1 species
CGGAGACGCAGCGCACAGCUCAGUAACACGUGGCUAAUCUGCCCUUGGGACCGGAACACCCCCGGGAAACUGGGGCUAAUUCUCGAUAGGUGAAGAACUCUGGAAUGAGUCUUUGCCAAAAAGAUGCUAGAGUUAUGCUCUUUGGCAUCGCCCAAGGAUGAGGCCGCGACCGAUCAGGUUGUUGGUGAGGUAAUGGCUCACCAAGCCUUUUACCGGUGCGGGCCGUGAGAGCGGGAGCCCGGAGAUGGGCACUGAGACAAGGGCCCAGGCCCUACGGGGCGCAGCAGUCGCGAAAACUUUGCAAUACACGAAAGUGUGACAGGGCUAUCCCGAGUGCCAUCCGCUGAGGAAGGCUUUUACCCAGUCUAGAACGCUGGGGGAAUAAGGAGAGGGCAAGUCUGGUGUCAGCCGCCGCGGUAAUACCAGCUCUCCGAGUGGUGUGGAUGUUUAUUGGGCCUAAAGCAUCCGUAGCUGGCUAAGUUAGUCCCUUGUUAAAUCCACCGAAUUAAUCGUUGGAUUGCGGGGGAUACUGCUUGGCUAGGGGACGAGAGAGGCAGACGGUAUUUCCGGGGUAGGGGUGAAAUCCUAUAAUCCCGGGAAGACCACCAGUGGCGAAGGCUGUCUGCUAGAACGCGCCCGACGGUGAGGGAUGAAAGCUGGGGGAGCGAACCGGAUUAGAUACCCGGGUAGUCCCAGCUGUAAACGAUGCAGGCUAGGUGUUUGGACGGCCACGUGCCGUUCUAGUGCCGCAGGGAAGCUG